rnacentral:rRNA from 1 species
AGUCCUACGGGGCGCAGCAGUGAGGAAUAUUGGUCAAUGGGCGGAAGCCUGAACCAGCCAAGUCGCGUGAGGGAAGAAGGCCCUGCGGGUCGCAGACCUCUUUGGACGGGGAGCAAGGCCGCCGACGUGUCGGCGGAAGGAGAGUACCCGUAGAACAAGCAUCGGCUAACUCCGUGCCAGCGGCCGCGGUAAUACGGAGGAUGCGAGCGUUAUCCGGAUUUAUUGGGUUUAAAGGGUGCGUAGGCGGGCUGUUAAGUCAGCGGUCAAAUGUCGG